CAGCCGUAAACUAUGCGCGUUAGGUGUAUCGGUGACCACGAGUUACCGAGGUGCCGAAGGGAAACCGUGAAACGUGCCGCCUGGGAAGUACGGUCGCAAGGCUGAAACUUAAAGGAAUUGGCGGGGGAGCACCACAACAGGUGGAGCCUGCGGUUUAAUUGGAUUCAACGCCGGACAUCUCACCGGAUAAGACAGCAAUAUGUAGGCCAGGCUGAAGACCUUGCCUGAAUCGCUGAGAGGAGGUGCAUGGCGUAGACGUCU
rnacentral:rRNA from 1 species